rnacentral:lncRNA from 1 species
CCUGUGUCUCGGCGCCAUCACUGAGCCACAGUGGCAUCCUCAUUCCUGGCCCUCCCUGGGGGCUGUGGAACAAAUCACCACAAACUGGAGGGCCGAAAACACCAGCAAUGGGCUCCCUCUUGGUUCUGGAGCCGAGAAGGCAGAAAUGAAGGCGUCAUCAGGGUUGCUCCUUCUGGGGCCUCAGAGCAGGACUCUGUUCCCUGCCCGUCCCCAGCUCCGGUGGUUGGCGGCCUUCCUCCGCCUGUGGCCCUGCACUCCAAUCGCUGCCUCUGUUGUCACUUGGCCCCCCAUGUGCCUCUGUGUCUCAGAAGGACACAAGUCAUAUUGAAUUAAGGACCCUCCCUACCCCAGCAUGACCCCGUUUUAACUUAGAACUUUCACAAUGAUCUGAUUUGCAAAGAAGGCUGGAUUCUGAGGUCCUGGGAAGGACAUGAAUUUUGGGGGAUGCUGUUCACCUCAGUACACCGGUGCAGAGUUCGGUGACACCGCCAAGUUGCUUGACGGUGAGCAGCCUGGCAUUGUAGAAAGGCAGAGGUUGACUUUAGUUUGGUCCCUGGCUUUGUCCUUUAUUUGUUCUGUGACACCUUGGACAAGUUUUGUGACCCGAGUGUCAGUUUCCUAGGAACCAGUGACAAUGAUCAGAGAUAGGGGGACUCAAGGGUAAGUAAAGUGCAGGAUGAACUGCAGCGGAGCGUGUGAGGUGCCUGGCAGGUGUCGGCCACCCAGUGGCGCUCGAAGCACCUGCUGCUCCCUCCUUCCUCGCUCCCAGCUGCCUUCUCUGCUGGGAGCUCUUUGGAGAGGAGCUGUGUGACUGGUUCAUCCUGUCCCUCGAGGAGCUACCAGUUCAGUCAAGGACAUUGAGAAGCAGCGGAUGGUGACAGUGCAGUGUGACAGUGGUGUGCUGUGGGAGCCCCAUGGAGCGGCUACCCAGGCAGGAACGUCAGGGAGGCUUCCUGGAGGAGGUGGUGCUUCAGAUGAGACUUGAAGGAGCAGAAGGUGUUUGCUAGACAAAGGGGCUUGCUUGGAUGAAUGGUCUUCAGAGCGUGGUCCCAGUAAGGAAGGAGACCACUACUACUCUUGCUGCCCUCCUCCCCCGACCUUGCCUAGUUUACAAGACAGGAGGAAAGAGAGAAAGCAAAAAGUUAGAAAAAAAAAAAAAAAAAACAGAAGUAAGAUAAAUAGCCAGAAGACCUUGGCACCACCACCUGGCCCUGGUAGUUAAAAAAAGUAAUAAUAAUAAUAUCGACCCCUGACUUAAACUACUUGUAUUAUCUGUAAAUUCCAGACAUUGUAGGAAAAAGCAUUGCAAAAUUUUCUGUUCUGUUAGCUGAUUCAUGUAGCCCCCAGUCACGUUCCCCAUGCUUGUUCGAUUUAUCAUGACCCUUUCACGUGGGCCCCUUAGAGGUGUAAGCCCUUAAAAGGGCCAAGAAUUUCUUUUUCCGGGAGCUCGGCUCUUAAGACGCAAGUCUGCUGAUGCUCCCGGCUGAAUAAACCUCUUCCUUCUUUAAUCCAGUGUCUGAGGAGUUUUGUCUGUGGCUCCUCCUGCUACACCAGAACAGCAGGGCCGGCAUCCCCUGAGCUAGAACAACCCUGAGGCAGGGCAUCCACUGCAGGGAAGGCUGGGAGAGGGGCCAGAGAAACCUGUCAGGGGAUUCUGAUGUGUGCUCCGGUCUCAGGACAUUCUCACAGGGGCGACAGGGACUGGAGCUGGGACAGAGUGUGGC